UUCAAAACUCGCACAGGCUAAUUUGUGAAAAGAACAGAAAAACUCAUUCUUCUGCUUGCUACGGUAAUAUUCUCGAUGGGUCGCUGAAAGAUCAAGAAACUAGUAUGCUCAAUCUAUGCCGAUAAUCUCUUAUGUUUGCUAUGCUACAGUAUGAAGUGAUUUUGCAAAGGCAAAAGAAAGUGUUUCCUUGUAUUUGAUUGGCCCACUGAUAUGGGUUUCAAAGGAAUUCUCUAAGGAAGAAAUGAAUCAACUGAAGCAAAGUAUAAAGAAACCAACUCCUUGGAGUCCUCUGUGAUAUUUAUACUGUAUUGCAUCUCUUACUCUGAUCAUCUGUACUAUUCAAAUUUUUAUAUGUUUUUCAAUUCAAUAAGGCAUGAGAUGAUGGGCAGAUGCAUAGGGAAUUUGCAAUGAAGGCAGCUGCCCAUCCCAAAGUUGCAAUUGUAAUCCUGUAAUCAUUACUUUCAUUAUGAGUUGUCGCGAUUUUUCUACAUUUCAUGAUGCUUUUCUUCAUCUUAGUUUUCCUCAGUAUAGCUCGCCAGUGUGCCCCACUUGGUUGAAGACUAGGGAAAUGCUUGGCUUCCCCCUUGGUUUCAUCUCAGAACCUGAUCAGUCUGUAUUGCCAAAGGAUGUUUUGAUGGCUGCAUGUGAGAAGGUUAGUUUGCAUAAAUAGGUCACUGGUAAUCACCUUAUCUUGCGUAAAAAUUUGGUUCUACUAAUAUUUUGGAAACACUUAUGCUGAUCAGAUAAAUAGUUUUAUCUCAAUUUUAUCUUGAUUCAUUCACUGUUCCUUCAUUUUUGGGUUACAUGUCAGCGAUAUAGAUAUAAAUGCUUGGCCCUUCAUCUUUAGUUUAAGUUUAUAGGGAAGUUGGUACUGGUCCUUCGCAUGCUAUUAGAGCCUUUAUGAUGAUAUGGUUUGGAGUUUACUCCUUGCGUGCACUCUUCCUAAUCAAUUUAUGCACAAAAUUAGUGAGGUUUAUUUCCAUUAGAUAUUAAAAAAACUUUGGGAUUUCACCUAAUAACUUAAGAUUUGAAUCAAUACUAUGAAUAAACACAUAUUUAUUACAAAAUUCGGCUUCAACGAAAAAUGCAGUUUUUUGUGGCUUGUUUCUAGCGAUGUCUAAGUAAUGGCUGCCUGAUUGGAAACCAUUGGUGUGAUAUCAAUGGAGAUUUGAUUAGAAUAUUGAGUAGACAUUGGACGAGUUGUCUCUAUCGGUGUCUUUUGAAGCAACUGCAAAAUAGUUUUGAUCCUACAAGCUCGUCAAGAAGCAAUUGUCUCGGUGUCUUAUUUUCUAUUCAAAAAAAUUAUCAAUUUUUUUUCAUAAUAAUGCAUGAAUGGAUAUAUAUUAUGCUUUGAUGACCCUUAGUCCCUAAAUUUAGUUCUGCGACUACAAUUAAAAGUGAUUUUGCAUUAUGAACUUAAUGACCUUUGUCCCUAAUGUUUCAUAAGUUUUGUAAGGGAUGAAUGAAAUGACCUUUGAGGAAAAAACAUUAUGAAUGCUUUCUUGAUGUCCAAAAAUACUGGAUAAAUUACUUAAUGACUUUAGUCCCUGAAUGUGAAAAAGCUAGUUGUUGUCUUAAUUGCUACUCAAGCAAUUGUCCCUAUUGGUGUCCUCUUUUCUAU